UACAGAGGUCCCAAGCGUUGUUCGGAUUCAUUGGGCGUAAAGGGUGCGUAGGCGGCGCGGUAAGUCGGGUGUGAAAUCUCGGGGCUUAACUCCGAAACUGCAUUCGAUACUGCCGUGCUUGAGGACUGGAGAGGAGACUGGAAUUUACGGUGUAGCGGUGAAAUGCGUAGAUAUCGUAAGGAAGGCCAGUGGCGAAGGCGGGUCUCUGGACAGUUCCUGACGCUGAGGCACGAAGGUCAGGGGAGCAAACGGG
rnacentral:rRNA from 1 species